CUGCCACCGAAUACAUUAGCAUGGGAUAAUGGAAUAGGACCCUGUCCUCCUAUUUUCAGUUGGUUUUGGCAGCGCGAGGACUAGGGUAAUGAUUAAUAGGGAUAGUUGGGGGCAUUAAUAUUUAAUUGUCAGAGGUGAAAUUCUUGGAUUUAUGAAAGAUUAACUUCUGCGAAAGCAUCUGCCAAGGAUGUUUUCAUUAAUCAAGAACGAAAGUUAGGGGAUCGAAGACGAUCAGAUACCGUCGUAGUCUUAACCAUAAACGAUGCCGACCAGCGAUUAGGAGACGUUGAAUACAAAACACCACCAUCGGCGCGGUCGUCCCUGGCUCGUCGUCUCACGACGGCGGGCGGGGGCGGUUUAGCCCGAUGGCACCGGUGAAUGACUCCCUAGCAG
rnacentral:rRNA from 1 species